rnacentral:pre_miRNA from 1 species
AGAGAGAUUGCUGGGUCAUAUGGUAACUCUACUCUUAAUUAUUUGAGGAACCUCCACAAUGCUUUCCAUAGUGGCUUUACCAUUUUCAUUCCCACCAGCAGU